UACGAAGGGGGCUAGCGUUGUUCGGAAUUACUGGGCGUAAAGCGCACGUAGGCGGAUUUGUAAGUCAGGGGUGAAAUCCCGGGGCUCAACCUCGGAACUGCCUUUGAUACUGCAAGUCUCGAGUCCGAUAGAGGUGAGUGGAAUUCCUAGUGUAGAGGUGAAAUUCGUAGAUAUUAGGAAGAACACCAGUGGCGAAGGCGGCUCACUGGAUCGGUACUGACGCUGAGGUGCGAAAGCGUGGGUAGCAAACAGG
rnacentral:rRNA from 1 species